rnacentral:tRNA from 1 species
UGCUUCUUUAUUGGGAAGAUUAGCGGCCUGUUAAUCCGUAUGUCACUGGUUCAAGUCCAGUAGAGGGAGCCA